CGCGGGGCACGCUGGGUAACGCGCUGGCCGCGGCGCCGACUCCUGGCGGCCGGCUGCGCGAGGCACGCCGGGUAGCGCGUUGGCGAAGGAGCCGACUCAUGGCCUGGCGGCGCUCGUUCCUUUCUUAGCCGGCGGACGAAGCGCGGGCUCCUCCAGGUCGAAGGAGCGCUGGGCACAGCGGGGGAACUUAACCCACUUCGCGUCUCCCGUUCUUCUUUGAAAGGCAUUUAAACAGGGGUUUCAUGGAAGACGCCAUGAUGGUGCACUAAGAUGACGUCACGGGCAGCGAAAUUGCUAGAAACGUCUGGCCCUUUGCUCUCGGUCCCGGUAUCCUCCCGACCUGGUCCCCGUGGGCGUUGGCUUAUAAAAUAGCGGCGAGUUACUUUAUUUUAAUAAGCGUAGUGUUUGCCCGGGUGGAAGGAGUUACGAUUGCCUUGUCUUGUGCUCAGGGCUUGGAAGCUAAGCCAAUGGUGAAAGGUCUUCAAAGGAACACGAAACAGACGCCAGUGAGCCACCAGCGCAACCGCAGGCGCUCACUGUUUCAAUGAGGCCAGAGCUUCCCUCCAUGGAGUCAAACAGGUUUGGUCAGAAGACAGGACAACCCAUAUUGUCUGUCUUCCAAGCUGCGUGGGGGCAGAAACAGAAUGCCUAGGACUGUCCACCCAACGGGUAGGAGUUAAGCCCAGCUGAUGUGUGCCUUUUGUAUUCUGUCCCAUUACGUUACUGUGCAGCUCGCAUCAGGGAUAAUGGUUGAAAACUUAUUUUCAGCAUAAUGUAGGCACAAAUAAGUCAUUCACAAGUGACUCCCACAUCCUUUAUUCGCAAAGAUAGCAUGUAAUACAGUCCGGCACUUUGUUAAUCAACAUUGCACAAACGUGAACUCUGACAGUGUACCGUGACCCUAAUAUGCAAAGACAUUCCAUAGUUCUGCUCUUAGGCCAUCAAACCCUGUUCUAUGAUUAACUACUGUUGCAUAAACACUUCUUAGCAGAGCCCUUUGAAAUCUGGGUCAGAGUUUCGAAGAUGAUAGAGUUAUUCCAAACAAUUGGAUUUAAAAUGUUUCCUGAGCUUCUGAAUGUAAAGACUCCUGCUGUAUACUGUGGAAACCAUACACCCAUGAACUGUAGGGAAAUAGAAGAUGCUCUGCAAUAAUAGCAUUUCAAACUUUUUAUGGAAGCAAAUCUAGGGUUAUAAGGCUUCUGAGGUCUUCAGGACUGAUAUCAGGUCUAUACGAAAGGCUUUUUACCUCCAGAAGACUGGGGCAGAAUCCAUUCCUUGCCUUUUCUGGUUUCUAGAGGAUACUCACAUUCUGUGACUUGUGGUUACAUCCUUUAACCUCUAGUCCACUGUCCCUUUAUGCUCCUCCUUUGUCUUUUUUCUUUUUAAGGAUGUUUGGCCCACCCAGAUAAGCAGGCCACCUUUUCUUGCAACAGUGUAGCCAAGGAUUUAGUAGACUAGACUUGGACAGGUAUUGUGAAACAGUUUCUUCUGAGAUUGAAACAUUGUAUCUGCCAGAGAAAUGCUUUAAUUAGGAAGGUAAACAAUUCAAAGAGCUUCUGGAGGCCCCUGAAACUUACCAAAUUCUUUAGGUUCCCCAAAUCAAUAGGAACAAAAUUGCAAAGAUUCUCAGACAAGUCAAGUUGCAAAGAAGACUGACACCAGACCAGCUGCCUGAAAGACCUUUAGAUCAUCUCAAGUGCCUGGAAAGGACACUCUCUAACCUGUUGACUUGUCUGCAGUCUGUAAGGUAUGCUCCAGGUUUCCAGCUUUGUGAGAUGUCACCCUUCUAGGGUAAACUUUGGCAAUAUAGCUGUCUUUGAGUCAUUUUUGCUCCUGUAAAUAACCCCUUACCCAUAUUCCUUCAAGUAACCCCAAUAAAACUCAUUGGUUCACCAAAA
ensembl:lncRNA